GGAGGUAUUGCACAGCUGGUUAGUGCGCAUGCUUCACAUGCAUGAGGUCAUAGGUUCGAGCCCUAUUACCUCCACCA
rnacentral:tRNA from 1 species